AGAGUUUGAUCCUGGCUCAGAACGAACGCUGGCGGCGUGGCUAAGACAUGCAAGUCGUACGGAUGCUUUGAUGGAGUAAUCUAGAUAAGCGUUAGUGGCGAAAGGGUGAGUAAUGCAUAGGUAACGUACCCCGGACACUGGGAUAGCGGCGGUCUUCGGACCUUUAGCGAAAGUGCCGGUAAUACCGGAUGAUAUCUCGAGAUCGCCUGGUUUUGAGAUCAAAGGUUUCGGCUGGUCUGGGAGCGGCCUAUGUCGUAUCAGCUUGUUGGUGAGGUAACGGCUCACCAAGGCAGCGACGCGUACCGGGACUGAGAGGUUGGCCCGGCACAUCGGGACUGAGACACUGCCCGGACCUCCACGGAGGGCUGCAGUAACGGAUCUUGCGCAAUGGACGAAAGUCUGACGCAGCGACGCCGCGUAUAGGAUUAAGCCCCUCGGGGUGUAAACUAUUGUCAGGGUGAAGAAAGGUCACUUCGGUGGCUUGAUCGAUCCCAGAGGAAGGACCGGCUAAAUUCGUGCCAGCAGCCGCGGUAAUACGAAUGGUCCAAGCGUUGUUCGGAAUCACUGGGCUUAAAGCGCACGUAGGCGGAACGUUAAGUGUCUUGUGAAAUCCCUACGGCUUAACCGAGGAAUUGCAGGGCAUACUGGCGUUCUUGAGGCAAGUAGGGGUGCAUGGAACUCUAGGUGGAGCGGUGAAAUGCGUAGAUAUCUAGAGGAACGCCUGUGGUGAAAACGGUGCACUGGACUUGUUCUGACGCUGAGGUGCGAAAGCGUGGGUAGCGAAAAGGAUUAGAUACCCUUGUAGUCCACGCCGUAAACGAUGCCUACUAGGUCUCGGGAGUUCUGACGCUUUCGGGGCCGUAGCAAAAGUCUUAAGUAGGCCGCCUGGGGAGUACGGUCGCAAGGCUAAAACUCAAAGGAAUUGACGGGGGCUCACACAAGCGGUGGAGCAUGUGGCUUAAUUCGAAACAACGCGAAGAACCUUAUCCUGGGUUUGACAUGCAGGGAUGCCCAUCCUGAAAGGGAGUAGGCUGCCUUCGGGUGAAACUUGCACAGGUGCUGCAUGGCUGUCGUCAGCUCGUGUCGUGAGAUGUCGGGUUAAGUCCCUUAACGAGCGAAACCCUUAUCGUUAGUUACCAGCGGGUCAUGCCGGGGACUCUAGCGAGACUGCCGGUGUCAAACCGGAGGAAGGCGGGGAUGACGUCAAGUCCUCAUGGCCUUAUGCCCAGGGCUGCACACGUGCUACAAUGGUGCGGACAAACCGACGCGAUACCGUGAGGUGGAGCAAAUCGGAAAAACCGCGCCCCAGUUCGGAUUGCAGGCUGCAACUCGUCUGCAUGAAGUCGGAAUCGCUAGUAAUCGCAGAUCAGCUACGCUGCGGUGAAUAAGUU
rnacentral:rRNA from 1 species